GGUUUCGUGGUCGAGUGGUAAAGAUACUUGCCUCUCACUCUGGUGUCUCGGAUUCGAUCCCCGCUCAAGGGGCUA